rnacentral:misc_RNA from 1 species
CAGAGUUCAUGCCCUCACGGGUAGAUCUCCCACCCUUGAUAUAUUUACACUUGUUGCUUUGGCAGGCCGCGGCCUCCGCUACCGGCUCCGGCUGGUAAGUGCCUGCCAGAGGACCCAAAACUCUGAAUGUUAAUGUCGUCUGAGUACUAUAUAAUAGUUA